AGAGAUGAGGUUUUGCCAUGUUGGCCAGGCUGGUCUCGAACUCCUGACCUCAGGUGAUCCACCUGGUUCAGCCUCCCAAAGUGUUGGGAUUACAGGCGUGAGCCACCACACCUGGCCAGGAUUACUUGAGAUGAUAAGUGAGUGCAUUUAGUGCAGUGCCUGGCAUGUAGGAAUGAUUAUGUUCUGGCUGUGGUUGAAGCCCUCGGCUUUCAGUAGAUAAUAAGAUUAGAUAAUUUGAGCCUUUUCUACUCUAAAACCCACACAAUAACAUGGGUGCCUCAAGCCUUCUGGCUUUUUCUCCCUUUUUCCUGCUUUCUGUUCUCCCGUUCUUUCCCACCUUUUGCUUUCACUUUUCUCAGUUCUUUCUCCCUGUGUCUAGACUUUUGCUGUUAUGAAUUAGCAACGGUCUAGUGAAACAGUGUCAAUAUAUUGUCUUAGUCCCUUGCAGAAAUGUGUGUACUUUAGUUCUGCAUAUUUUAUCAUCUUCUGAUGGCUCGCUAGUAUUCCUGUCUCCAGGAUCAAGUAUUCUCUUCCAGCUUUGUUCUUUCAGGAAUAAAAUAGGGAAGUGUUAUUGAGGCCACAACCCAAAAGACAUAUGAGUCACAGCUUAGGAAUAGACAUAGAGGUCUUAGUGUAAGCAGUUUCUUGUUCUUGCAAGGAAACAUCUGUAACUUUUGAGGGCUUCCCUUUGCCAGCUGCAUCAGGAGUAUAAAGAAUUAAGUUUUAUUCGAGUACACCAGGAGACAGAGGCAGCCUGCCAGCACCUGCAAGCCCAGGGAAAGUGGCUCUGUGGACGAGUGCUGCCUGUGACGGGACUGGGGUUCUUACCAGCGAGGGAUCAGGGCUAGACUGCAGGCUUUAUGAGGGUAGACACCCCAUGGUCUUACUCACAUUCAUAUCCCUGGUGCCUAGCCAGGCCCUGGCCCCAGGAGGUACAAAAUAUGUAUUUCAAGAGAAUAAAAAUGUGAACAUUUGGAUGGAAGUUAGCCAGUCCUAGGAGCACGAAGUCUGUUUCAUCCCCUGUUGACAAGAACUCCAGCUCUUCUCAUGGAAAAGAACAAAUCAAGUGGCUUGCAUCUUAGAGCUGUGUCCUUGUGGUGAAAGGAUUAGGCCAUGGCUCUGCACUUUUUCUUGAUUCCAUCACUUGCCCUGUGGGCUUGGGCAUGUUUUAACCUCUGUCAACCCAGUUUUGUCACCUGUAAAGCAAGAAUGACACUAACAGUACUUGGAUCAUAGGGCUGUAGAAAUGAGAUGAAGCAUGUCAGGAAGUGCAUAGUAUAGUGUUUGGCAUGUAUUAAGUUCCCAAGAAAGGUUUGCUUGGAGCUUCCUUUCCCUAAGACAAGGAGGGUGUCGUUCAAACUUAGAGAUUUUUAGCACUAGGAAAUUAAGAGAUCGUUUUCUGGUCCAGUCUCUCCCAUCCUGAAUUUCAUCUGUUAAACAGGCAUGAUAAUACUCACCUCACAGGAUUGUGGAAAGAAAUAAGCUAGAAAUAUGCAUGCGGCAUAGUUUCUUCUAGAGCGUAGUAAAUAUUCAAAUGGUAGCUGUUAUCUUAUUAGCAUAACAUACUAAUUUAUGAUAGCACUGAAGUUAACCUUUUAACAGAAAACAGUAGCACCAGUCUGGCCCGGCUCUAUGCUGUUGUUAGAAUGCAAGUGCAACCCUCUUGGCCUUGUUUUGCUGCAAGUGGAGUGGUUAAAAAAAGGGGACAUGGAUUAUAGGCAGACCCUCUGCUUCUCCCCUUGCCACCCAGCCUUGCAGUCUUGGGCAAACUGGUUAUUCAUCUCUAUGAGCUUCCAUUUUUUUGUCUGUUACAUGGCAGGUUCACUGUGAAGCUCUCAUGAGAGAAGAGUAUAAAUACCGAUACCAUGUUGGAGUAGUAACCCUCAUUUUUCUGAUUAUAUCUUAAUUUAGUAUUUCACUGUCCUGCAUAGGGUCAGAUAUUACCCUGUUUAGCUCUCUUAUUUCUGCUCCACCCAAACCAAGUUGGUUGUAUUCAAUUUUUAACUUAACAGAGGGCAAGAACCUGGUUUCAUUCAUGAACAGUACUUACAACUAUAGAGCAGACAUUGUUCUAAGGUUUGAUAAUGAAAGAGUAAACAUGUUGUGUGCUUGCCCUUAUGGAUCUGAUACUCUAAAGAGAAAAAAGAAGGUAAUACACCAUUAAAUUAAUAUAUGGCACAGUGAUAUGUUCUAUGAAAAAUAAAAAAGGUAGAGAAACAGAAUGAUGAAAGUUGCCCCCCCCCUUCUUUUGCUCUUUUUCUCAUAUGCUACCUCCCCUGCCUGCAUCCCAAAUUCCGAUGAAGUCCUUGCAAAUAGAAGAGCCCGUGUAAUUCUUUGUGGAAAUGAAUUCUGAACUCUGAAUCAUGGGAAGAUUGAAUUUUGCCUGAUUAUAAUGACUAUUUAGAAUAGCCUGAUUAUAAUGACUAAUAUAGCUGGGUAUGGUGAUGUAUUCCAUUAGUCAUAGCUACUUAAAAAGAUGAGACAAGAGGAUCACUUGAAACCGGGACAAUUGCUUGUAUUGUAAUUUGCCAUCAUCAUGUUUGUGAAUGCACUCCACUGCACUCUAGCCUGGGCAACAUAGCAAGACCUGUCUCUUACCGUCUCUUCGAUUUGAUUCGAUUGAUAGGAGAGAUUAGAUGAGUUAGAGAGAGAGAAAGAGAGAGAGAGAGAGAGAGACUAGAUAGAAUCAUUGUAGUUCCAGGAAAGGGCGGUUGGCUUCCUACUUUCCAUGGAAACUCAAACAGUUUUCAGAAAUCUUGUCCAGGCUCUUAAAUGCAUGUCUUAGUCUUAGCUUCUUCAAACUUUGUAAUUGGCUUUUGUGGACUUGGCCUUUAGGUAUCUUCUCUAAAUCAUUUCAGUUUGUAGUUCAAUUAAAAGUUGAUUUUUAGCUGCUUCCUGAACCCUGCUUAAUCAUGGACAUAGGUCUUUUAUGGUAAAAAUAGAUUUGAAAUGUAUUUUUUAAUACAAAUAAAUUAUUAUUCCAAUAGAGCCUAGUUAUAUGAAAUAAGUUUGGGUUUUCAGGAAUUGAGAAGUGUCUGGCCCCAUUCUUAAUGCUACCUAGAGUUUUGCUGUGGUUCUCAGCCAAGCUGCUGCUCUUUGGAAUUACCUGGAGAGCCAUUCAAAUCCCAGUGACCACCAGGUACGGUGGCUCAUGUCUGUAAUCGCAGCACAUUGGGAGGUCAAGGCAGGAGGAUCACUUGAAGCCAGGAGUUUGAGGCUGCACUGAGCUAUGAUAGUAUCAUUAUACUCCAGCUUGGGCAACAGCAAUAUCCUGUCUAAAAAAAAAAAAAAAAGUCCUGGUGCCCAGGUCCAGCCCCAGAUCAGUUAGAUCAGAAUCUGACAUUGUGAUAGAAGCUCCCCAGAUGAUUACAGUAUGCAACAAAGGUUGACAACUACUGUUCCAAAGACUUCUAUUAUAUCUACAUGGAAAGAAUGAGGCUGCCAGGAAUGCUUCUUUAAAGAGUGUUUUCAAAUAUAGUGUGCCUGAAGAUCAUGGGUGGAGCUAGUCAAAAGCAGUACCACCCCCAGGGAUUUGUCUGCAAUAAAGCUAAAUAGGGUCUUAGGAUCACGAUUAUUCUUGGUGAUUUGAUACAGGUAGCGGGGGAACCAAACUUAGGUAGCGCCUUUAAGCAUGUACCUCCCCAGCUAAUUCUUGGGCAUUCCAGGAUUGAACGCUGCUCUGAAGGUUUGGACCAGAAGAUCUUUUAGACCAGAGAUUUCCAAUUCUCAAAGUCCUGGUUAUCUAUUUCUACCAUUUCCUUUGUCAGACCUGCUGAGGCAGACUGAACAUUGGGGCGGCCAGACUUGCCCCCAACAGCCACCAUAAAUUUCUGCACCCACAGCUUGAGCUGUGUGCACAUCAACUGUUGAGAGAGUUUACUCUCAAACCUGUUUAUACCAUAUACCUGUGUUGUAAUUAUGUAGUAUUAUUAACACAUAAACUGAUGAAAUACAAAUGUAAAAAGUAAGAGCACUCACUUCUAGAUAAACUUAGUUGGUAGCUUUGGAAAGAUUUGAUAGAGGUGAGUCCUUUUAAAAUAUUGCUGUUAAAUUUGGGGUAGUCAAGACACCAGUAAAAUAAUGAGAAAUUCACAAAAAUGUGGAGUCUGAAGUUACCCUGCUCUGCAAGUAUUUUUACACUUACCUGACAUUUUAAAGAGAUUUCAGAGGCAGCAUUAUAGUUUUACGGUAAAAUGUUUGUAGUAUAUAGGUAUCACUUUUUGUUUUGCCUUCAUUAAAGGAUUCUUUCUAUUAACUCAUCACCUAUUUCUCCCUCUUCUGAAUAAAAAAACUAUGAGCAAUGAUGUCUGCUAUGGGUAGGUAAGACUGCCGUGAUUAACCAUUAACAUACUCACCUGAGCAUUUAAUUUUCUACUUAUUAUUUAAACAAUACACAAUUUAAUGAACUUGUAUUUUUCUUAUAAAAGACCAAAUGUCUCCCAUUUAAAUCAAGGACUGAAAGGAGAGUAUUAGUCAAGUACUUCAUUACUAAUCUAGCUAUUAAGCUAUACUUCAUUAAAAGAUUUGCUUUUGAAAUUAUCUUGUUCUUGCUGGCUGCCGCAGGCUGUUUUAAAUACUGCUGUUGUCCACUUCUGCAGCUGGAAUCCAGUUGUUAUUUUUAUAUUAAUAAUACAGGGAUUAGCCUCUCACCAUAAUACAUCUCAAAGCUCUAAAUCAGCAGUUCACAAACUCCGGCCCACAUACCUAUCACCUAUUUUUGUAUAGCCCAUGAGUGAAGUGUGGUGUUACGUUUUUAAACAAUUGAGAAAAGAAUCAAAAGAAGGGUAUAUUGGACAUAAAAAUUUUAUGUAAUUCACAUUUCAAUGUCCAUAAAGUUUCAGUGGGACACAUCUAAGGCCAUUUGUUUACUACUGUCUGUGGCUCCUUUUGAACCUCAGUGGUUUAAAAAAAAAAAAAAAAAGUCAUUAUCCCCUCACCCAGGUGCAUGCUGUGCCCAAGUCCUAGGCCUUUUCUCUGUCUCUUCAGGCAUACUUACUCCUUCCUGUCCACCAUCCUUGAUGGAGAGUUUGUUUGGAACUUGCCUUUGAAAGUAAAUGUGUUGAAUGUAACUGGUUCAGUUUUUCAGGAUUCUUUCUUCACCGGCUUCAUUGGAACCAAUCCCCUCCUAGUUCUUACUAGAACUAUGAAUAUUAGUAAAACAAAAUCUCAGUUGUUACAAAAACAUAUUGAUUCUUUAUAACUGUUUGAUUUUUACAAAUACACAUUUAAUUUAGAUUUCUCAAGAAUACAUUUGAUGGUACCAGAAGUACACUUACCUUUUGGAAGCUUGAUGUACAAGCACUUCGGCUAGAUCAUGUUACCUGCAUUUCUAAAAAAUCUUGAAAACUGCAGAUUAAAAAUAAUAGGACUUAUGAUAAAAGUAAGGGCCAAACCACUGCAAAUGAAAUCUACACUUUUUUGGACAACAGCAGUUAUAAAAAUAACAAUCCAAAUAAAAAUUGUAGCAGAGUGAAAACAUUUAAAACCUAAAAAGCAAAUACUAAAUAUAUAACUUUACCUUUAAAAAGGUCAAAUUAGCAUGCUGGAGGUGGGAAUGGUUUGAGGCUACUUUUAGUUUAUAGAAAGAAGGGUAAGAUGCACCUGACCUUUCCUGAUGGAAGAGAACUCCAUGGGAGCAUGUCCAGGGCAGAGCCAUGGCCACACAUACCAAGCUGGAAACUAGUCUUGGUGUGUAGCACUGUACCCUCUGCAGAUUACUGCAUGUAGCUGAGUAAAUGUGUAUUGUAUUAAGCUGCUAUUAUUGAUUCUACAAAAUAUUAAUGAACUGGAAAAAAAAUGGUAUCUGAACCAAAGUGACUUACAUGGCUCUGUUUACGUCGUUCCCCACUUACCUUCGUGUAUGAGCUAAUUGACAUUAGAGAAACACACACUUUAGCAGAACCGAUUGUACUUCUUUCUUCAUUCUCUGAGUCUGUCUCUCCAAAUACUGAUAUGCAUUAAACGGCAACAGCAGCAAAACCUGCCUCACAAUAACCAGCAAAAAAUCAAGCAGAUAACAAAUAAGCAUUAAAAAUUUCAGGUCAGCAUUUGUAUUAAGACAGCAUGUAUAUACCACAGUAUAUAUUAAAUCCAAAGAGAAUGAAGAAUAAGUGUGACUAGAAUGUCAUUAGUCACUUAAUCCUCCUUGUGCCAUCAAAAGCCCCUCUUUUCCUUGCUAUUGGCUCCUGACUUGAGAAGCCCUCAGCUGCUGAUUGAGUAGAACUGGGUGUUCAAUCACAGACCUAGGGCAGAGGGCAACAUCAUUUUUAAUGCCACCAAAAUUCGAAGUAGUAAGGUAAGCCUCAAACAUCAGGUUCUAGACAUAUGUCUACAGUUUUUAUAAAGGUACACAUAUAAGGAAAAGUUUUGACAAUAUGACACUAGGAAAACAUAAAGCCACUGAAGAUAAUGAAUACUCAGCGUUCUUGGGAGGAGGAAGAAAAACAGAAGAUUAGGCUUAAUAAAAUGCUUAUUGAAAGGAAGAUCAAUUUAGCAGGGUUUUUUUGUUUGUUUUUACUUGGGGCAUAUAAAAUAAGGUCAUAUUGGUUCUAAUAGAUGGUGGAAAUAUGGAACAGCUAAGAAGCUGUGCUAAUCAACAGCAGAAUCUCAGAAGAUGAGAUAAGAUAUAAGAAGCACCUUCUUGUCAGCCAGAAUCACAUCACAGUAAGCACUGAGAACUUUCUGAUCCAGUGACAAAUUCUCAAAAAGUUGUCAGGGUAAAAAUUUUGAUGCAAAGUAAAAUAAUGUGUUAUUUUAAGAUGUGCAAAAUUAGCUUGCUGUUGGACUAUGGAAAAAUCACCUAAGAAUCAGGAUAUGAGAAGCUGUCAGGGGCAAAAUACGAAAUAUUUGAACAAACCAUUGAUGGGAAAAGCAAAAGACAGGAAUGACCUCAGAAAAGUUAGAAGAAAUGCCAUUUAAACAAGGGACUACACAGAUAACAGGUAAAAUUCCUGUAAUCAGAAUAUGCAAAUGGAUUGGUGUAUUAAAUUAAGAAUUGCAUUCAAAUGUGAAUAUUAGAUUAUACCAUAAAAAAUUUCUUAAAGAGUUUCUUUUUUCACUUAAAGACAAGUAAAUUGGGCUGCUUCAGCGAUCUGUUAUUAGGGACUCUAGCUAUUUCUGUCUUUCAACUCUAUCAUCUUCGUAAUGACAUCCGUCCUCAGAGGCACUCUUGGUCCAAGAUGGCUGCUAAGGCUUUAGUCAUUAAGGCCUCAAUUCACUCAAGAGGCAAAAGCAAGAAGAUAAGGAUAAAAGAGUAUACAUUUCUCUGCUGAGGCAGCCCCCUCUAAAGAGCUUUCUUUGAAGCUGUGUCUAGCCUUUACCUACUCCUAGUUACUAGGGAGAUGAGGAAAUUUCAGCUGGGACUACUGCCCCAAAUAAAAGUGAGAUUCUGUUCAUAAGGAAAAAGGGAUAUUUUUGCAUUAGUUGAAGGGGUAGAGAGGGUAGUGCUAUAUGCUAAGGAAAUGUGUAUAUAUGGGGCAUCUCAAUAAGCAAAAGUUGGAGUGAUGAUUGAAAUAGAAAAUAACAAAAUAUUAACACACUAAGAAUACACAAGAUACAACUUGGCCAGAUAAAAGAUAGUAGGAUACAUUUUCUUUACCAAACCAGCAUAAAAACUAGACGUCAUAGAGUGUUGGUUAAGAACUGUGCUCCAUUCCUGGUUCUGUCGGCUAACUUAAAUAGAGGACCUUAGGCAAGCUUCUGGACCCAAGUUUGUCUGUCUAUAAAGUGGAAACAGCAGUCUGUUCUACCUAAGAUGGUUGUAAGGAUUAGUUGGAAUGAGGCAUGUAAAGUCUUCCUACAGAGCUGAGCACACAAGGAGGCACCAUGCCCAGUAACGUGGCUAAGCCAUUUCUGCUAGAAGUUCCUGCAGCUGGUAACAAAACAGCUCGCCAGCCCUCGCCACUUGCUGCCUCAUGUUGGAGAGAAGGGGAAGAAUUGUUGUUAUCCUAAUGACUUGGUUCUGAAUAGCGCAAAAGAGUUGUUUGGUGAAAGGAAACUUCUAAGAAGAGACAGGAAUAUUGAGAGAAAGCUGCCCAUUCAUAGCCACAGAUGAUUGAGUAUUCAAAUGUGUACUCAAGAGCUCCAAAGUUCAGGGAUGGGAGUUUGCCUCUGAACAGAAGACUACAAAUGGAGACCUCCAAUGGAAAGUGACUUAUCAGGUGUUAUUUAAAAAUCAGUAUACUUUCCACACGUAAUUCUUCGAUGACAGCGAUUCCAAUAAUGAGAAGUUAGGAGACUCCAAAAUCUUCAGCUAAAAUUCAUGGGGAUCAGAGCCUUGGAUUUUAGAAGGAUACACAAAAGAUGAGUAUAAGGGAGGCACAGAACUGACAUGGAAGGUGCCUAAAGCUCAGAAGUUGCCACUUCUCUCCAGAAAGUCAAGGACAAUGAAAAAGGGUUCUUUCUUUCCACUUUGAGUGUUUGAAAGUUUUUCUUAGAAUAAACUAUGGUGACUCUUUUCCUGUAAAUUUUGCCAUGAAACAUUUCUAAUAAAAGAAUUGUAUAAUGAGCCCCCAUGUACCUCUCACCUAGCGUCACCAAUGAUCAACUCACAACCCGUCAUGUUUCUUCUUCAUCUACCUCCACCCCCAGAAUAUUGUGAAGCAAAUUUAAGACCUCUUACUCUUUCAUAAUUAGAGUAUUUCAGUAUAGUGCGUAUCUCUAAAAUAUGAAGAUCUUUAAAAAAAAAAAAAAAAAAACCACU